UCCAGACUCCUACGGGAGGCAGCAGUGGGGAAUAUUGCACAAUGGGGGAAACCCUGAUGCAGCAACGCCGCGUGAGUGAAGAAGUAUUUCGGUAUGUAAAGCUCUAUCAGCAGGGAAGAAGAUGACGGUACCUGAUUAAGAAGCCCCGGCUAACUACGUGCCAGCAGCCGCGGUAAUACGUAGGGGGCAAGCGUUAUCCGGAUUUACUGGGUGUAAAGGGAGCGCAGACGGCAGUGCAAGUCUGGAGUGAAAGGCCGGGGCCCAACCCCGGGACUGCUCUGGAAACUAUUCAACUUGAGUGCAGGAGAGGUAAGCGGAAUUCCUAGUGUAGCGGUGAAAUGCGUAGAUAUUAGGAGGAACACCAGUGGCGAAGGCGGCUUACUGGACUGUAACUGACGUUGAGGCUCGAAAGCGUGGGGAGCAAACAGGAUUAGAUACCCCUGUAAG
rnacentral:rRNA from 1 species